CCUAGUGACACCAAAUAGGCUGCCACGUGGCAGCAAUUAAUAAAAGGGGAAACUAACGUGUCAAGCCCAAUGAUGACUCAAAGUCAUCUAAAUGGGACACUUACACGUUGAAAGGCCCUUAUACAUUCAAAGUUGGCAAUUCAUAAAUUCAUUUUGCAAGAAUGCAAUUGACAAAAGUCACGUAGGAAUUAAAAAAAAAAAAAAAAGCACACACGGCUAAGUUGGAGUUAAAGAAAGAACAUGGUACUUUCGGACCAACAGUGGUGUGGAGAAAAGUUUGCAUUGUUGAAUAUUUUGAUUAAGUUUCAAGUAUUAUACAAAUUCAAGGAAGCGAUAGCAACAUUGGAUAUGGAAUUGAGGAAGAAGAAAUUGCGAAAUUGGAGCAAUUAAGAGUAGAAAUUCCUAUGAGAAAUUUAAGGCUAAAAGAGCGACGAGACGAACGGGUUAUGAAUAACCAACAGGUACAGAUGCUCACGUUGGUAACCCGCCAGCUUAGGAGUCCUAUCCAGCUAUCUUGGAGUGCUCCCUUGUCCUGGAGCAUAGCUUUUUGUUACAGAUUCUCCUGUUGUAUAUAUGUGUCUAUUGAGGGGUACGGCGGGGCCCUGUCCCGUCAUAUAAUACUGUAGUUACUCUUAGAGGUCUGUAGACAUAUGUGUGGGUUGUGUAUCAAUGUUGUUCAGUUGUGUCUAUAUGGCUUAUGUUUUGGGACGUUCCCAUUCGUAGUGGCAGCCUUGUCGGC